AAUGAACGCUGGCGGCGUGCCUAAUACAUGCAAGUCGAGCGAACAGACGAGGAGCUUGCUCCUCUGACGUUAGCGGCGGGCGGGUGAGUAACACGUGGAUACCCUACCUAUAAGACUGGGAUAACUACGGGAGACCGGAGCUAAUACCGGAUAAUAUAUUGAACCGCAUGGUUCAAUAGUGAUAGCCCGUUUUGCUGUCCCUUAUAGAUGGAUCCGUGUCGCAUUAGCUAGUUGGUAAGGUAAAGGCUUACCAAGGCGACGAUGCGUAGCCGACCUGAGAGGGCGAGCGGCCACACUGGAACUGAGACACGGUCCAGACUCCUACGGGAGGCAGCAGUAGGGAAUCUUGGGCAAUGGGCGAAAGCCUGACGGAGCAACGCCGCGUGAGGGAUGAAGGUCUUCGGAUCGUAAAACUCUGUUAUUAGGGAAGAAAAAAUGUGGAAUUAUACACGGACGUGUUGACGGUACCGGAUCAGAAAGCAACGGCUAACUACGUG
rnacentral:rRNA from 1 species